rnacentral:misc_RNA from 1 species
ACCCAUGUUGAUGAGGUCAAGCCGAUCGAAAAAAAGAACAACAUCAGGUGGGGAUUCUCUAAUGAAUCUCUUCACAGAGAGCAUGGUCUUCCUAUUUCUUCUCACAUUACUUUUAGAUGAAGGUAAGAAGCCAGGGGUGUCGAUAAAAGUUACUCUGAUUCCACAUACAGUACCAACAAUCUCUUGGAUGCGAUCAGUGGCUGGUUCAAAUGCAUCAGUCAUCGUCUUUCUUUGAUCAAAUAUAGAAUUUAUGGUUG